rnacentral:rRNA from 1 species
UACGUAGGGUGCGAGCGUUAAUCGGAAUUACUGGGCGUAAAGCGCACGUAGGCGGCUUUGUAAGUUAGAGGUGAAAGCCCGGGGCUCAACUCCGGAAUUGCCUUUAAGACUGCAUCGCUAGAACGUCGGAGAGGUAAGUGGAAUUCCGAGUGUAGAGGUGAAAUUCGUAGAUAUUCGGAAGAACACCAGUGGCGAAGGCGACUUACUGGACGACUGUUGACGCUGAGGUGCGAAAGCGUGGGGAGCAAACAGG